AAGGCUAUACUUUACAGGAUCAUUUCUGUAGUUAGACUUCAUUUAAAUUUUUUGGAAAUCGACCCGCGAUGACGAGGUAUAUCGUUUUAUCUGACAGCGUGAAAGUGUAAACACAAUGGCUACGACAGACUGCAGCGGCACGACAGUGAACUGAAAACGUCGUUGUUCAUCUUACUACAUGUACAUUUUGAGAAGCAACAACAACACAAUGGC